ACAAGGAGGGACCAAGACUGUGCAUUGAAUUUGCACACUAGAAAACAAAGAUGGGGAUACACACUAAAACUGUGUGCAAAAGGUGCGCACUCAAUUGAGUUUGUGCACUUAGAAGAGACCAAUGCACUAAGUUGAGUAGAGUUUAACGCACUAAUGAUGCAUUCCAAGGAAAGGUAAUGCACACAUUAAGCAUGUGCACUACAAAGAAA
rnacentral:lncRNA from 1 species